rnacentral:rRNA from 1 species
CUUGCUUCCUGGAUCAGUGGCGAACGGGUGAGUAACACGUGAGCAAUCUGCCCCUGACUCUGGGAUAAGCGCUGGAAACGGCGUCUAAUACUGGAUAUGAGCUGCGACCGCAUGGUCAGCAGUUGGAAAGAAUUUCGGUCAGGGAUGAGCUCGCGGCCUAUCAGCUUGUUGGUGAGGUAAUGGCUCACCAAGGCGUCGACGGGUAGCCGGCCUGAGAGGGUGACCGGCCACACUGGGACUGAGACACGGCCCAGACUCCUACGGGAGGCAGCAGUGGGGAAUAUUGCACAAUGGGCGCAAGCCUGAUGCAGCAACGCCGCGUGAGGGACGACGGCCUUCGGGUUGUAAACCUCUUUUAGCAGGGAAGAAGCGAAAGUGACGGUACCUGCAGAAAAAGCACCGGCUAACUACGUGCCAGCAGCCGCGGUAAUACGUAGGGUGCAAGCGUUAUCCGGAAUUAUUGGGCGUAAAGAGCUCGUAGGCGGUUUGUCGCGUCUGCUGUGAAAUCUGGGGGCUCAACCCCCAGCCUGCAGUGGGUACGGGCAGACUAGAGUGCGGUAGGGGAGAUUGGAAUUCCUGGUGUAGCGGUGGAAUGCGCAGAU